AACGAACGCUGGCGGCAGGCUUAACACAUGCAAGUCGAACGAGAUCUUCGGAUCUAGUGGCAGACGGGUGAGGAACACGUGGGAACAUCCCUUUCAGUUCGGAAUAACGUUGGGAAACUAACGCUAAUACCGGAUACGUCCUUCGGGAGAAAGAUUUAUCGCUGAAAGAUUGGCCCGCGUCUGAUUAGCUAGUUGGUGAGGUAAUGGCUCACCAAGGCCACGAUCAGUAGCUGAUCUGAGAGGAUGAUCAGCCACAUUGGGACUGAGACACGGCCCAAACUCCUACGGGAGGCAGCAGUGGGGAAUAUUGGACAAUGGGCGCAAGCCUGAUCCAGCCAUGCCGCGUGGGUGAUGACGGCCUUCGGGUUGUAAAGCUCUUUUGUCCGGGAAGAUAAUGACUGUACCGGAAGAAUAAGCCCCGGCAAACUUCGUGCCAGCCGCCGCAGUAA
rnacentral:rRNA from 1 species